UACGUAGGGCGCAAGCGUUUGUCCGGAAUUAUUGGGCGUAAAGAGCUCGUAGGUGGUUUGUCGCGUCUGUCGUGAAAGCCCAUGGCUUAACUGUGGGGUCUGCGGUGGAUACGGGCAGACUAGAGUUCGGUAGGGGAGACUGGAAUUCCUGGUGUAGCGGUGAAAUGCGCAGAUAUCAGGAGGAACACCGGUGGCGAAGGCGGGUCUCUGGGGCCGAUACUGACGCUGAGGAGCGAAAAGCGUGGGGGAGCGAACAGG
rnacentral:rRNA from 1 species